rnacentral:rRNA from 1 species
CGUAGGUGGCAAGCGUUGUCCGGAUUUAUUGGGCGUAAAGCGAGUGCAGGCGGUCUUUUAAGUCUGAUGUGAAAGCCUUCGGCUUAACCGAAGAAGGGCAUCGGAAACUGGGAGACUUGAGUGCAGAAGAGGAGAGUGGAACUCCAUGUGUAGCGGUGAAAUGCGUAGAUAUAUGGAAGAACACCAGUGGCGAAGGCGGCUCUCUGGUCUGUAACUGACGCUGAGGCUACGAAAGCGGUGGGUAGA